rnacentral:rRNA from 1 species
GAUGAACGCUAGCGGCAGGCCUAACACAUGCAAGUCGAACGGCAGCGGGAAGGAGCUUGCUCCUUUGCCGGCGAGUGGCGCACGGGUGCGUAACGCGUAUACAACCUACCUUAUACAGGGGUAUAGCCCAGGGAAACUUGGAUUAACACCCCAUAGUAAUAUGUUUUGGCAUCAUUACAUAUUUAAAACUACGGUGGUAUAAGAUGGGUAUGCGUCCCAUUAGCUUGUUGGUGUGGUAACGGCACACCAAGGCAACGAUGGGUAGGGGCCCUGAGAGGGGGAUCCCCCACACUGGUACUGAGACACGGACCAGACUCCUACGGGAGGCAGCAGUGAGGAAUAUUGGACAAUGGGCGGGAGCCUGAUCCAGCCAUGCCGCGUGCAGGAAGACUGCCCUAUGGGUUGUAAACUGCUUUUAUA